rnacentral:rRNA from 1 species
GAUGAACGCUGGCGGCGUGCCUAAUACAUGCAAGUCGAGCGAACAGAUAAGGAGCUUGCUCCUUUGACGUUAGCGGCUGACGGGUGAGUAACACGUGGGUAACCUACCUAUAAGACUGGAAUAACUCCGGGAAACCGGGGCUAAUGCAGGAUAACAUGUUGAACCGCAUGGUUCUACAGUGAAGGGCGGCUUUGCUGUCACUUAUAGAUGGACCCGCGCCGUAUUAGCUAGUUGGUGAGGUAACGGCUCACCAAGGCAACGAUACGUAGCCGACCUGAGAGGGUGAUCGGCCACACUGGAACUGAGACACGGUCCAGACUCCUACGGGAGGCAGCAGUAGGGAAUCUUCCGCAAUGGGCGAAAGCCUGACGGAGCAACGCCGCGUGAGUGAUGAAGGUCUUCGGAUCGUAAAACUCUGUUAUUAGGGAAGAACAAAUGCGUAAGUAACUGUGCGCGUCUUGACGGUACCUAAUCAGAAAGCCACGGCUAACUACGUG